rnacentral:lncRNA from 1 species
CGACCUUAGACUCGAAGUCGUAUCAUUUAAACAAAAAGAUAAUGAAACUUUGGGAAAAUCCUAGAAACAUUUUUCUGAUCUUUUAGAAUCUAGUCCAAACCUUAAUCUUGAAGACCCUGUUCUUUUAUUUCACUUCUUUCAAGGUCUUCAGAAAGAACAUAAACAAAUGCUACAUACAAUGUCUAGAGUUCUUUCUUUCGCAUCCCUACUGAUGAAGCUAGAGUGAUCUUAGAUAGAAUCCUAGAAGCUGAGAUGGAUAAUACCCUUCAUGAUGAAACCCACGAAGCCGAAGUAGACACUCUGCCAAAUUCUCCAUCUACUUUAGCUAUCCCAAGUUAUGAGCC